rnacentral:rRNA from 1 species
UACGUAGGUGGCAAGCGUUGUCCGGAUUUACUGGGCGUAAAGAGCGCGCAGGCGGUCGAUUAAGUACGCAAUGUUGAAAGCCCCCGGCUUAACUGGGGAGGUCAUUCGAUACUGAUCGACUUGAAGGCAGGAGAGGGAAGCAGAAUUCCCGGUGUAGUGGUGAAAUGCGUAGAGUAUCGGGAGGAAUACCAGUGGCGAAGGCGGCUUCCUGGCCUGUUCUUGACGCUGAGGCGCGAAAGCUGGGGGAGCAAACGGG